rnacentral:rRNA from 1 species
CAGAACGAACGCUGGCGGCAGGCUUAACACAUGCAAGUCGAACGCCCCGCAAGGGGAGUGGCAGACGGGUGAGUAACGCGUGGGAACCUACCCAGUUCUACGGAACAACUGAGGGAAACUUCAGCUAAUACCGUAUACGCCCUACGGGGGAAAGAUUUAUCGGGAAGGGAUCGGCCCGCGUUGGAUUAGGUAGUUGGUGGGGUAAUGGCCUACCAAGCCGACGAUCCAUAGCUGGUUUGAGAGGAUGAUCAGCCACACUGGGACUGAGACACGGCCCAGACUCCUACGGGAGGCAGCAGUGGGGAAUCUUAGACAAUGGGCGCAAGCCUGAUCUAGCCAUGCCGCGUGAGCGAUGAAGGCCUUAGGGUUGUAAAGCUCUUUCAGUGGGGAAGAUAAUGACUGUACCCACAGAAGAAGCCCCGGCUAACUCCGUG